UACGUAGGGUGCAAGCGUUGUCCGGAAUUAUUGGGCGUAAAGGGCUCGUAGGCGGUCCAUCGCGUCGGGAGUGAAAAGCUGGGGCUUAACCCCAGUCCUGCUUCCGAUACGGGUGGACUAGAGGUAGGUAGGGGAGAACGGAAUUCCUGGUGUAGCGGUGAAAUGCGCAGAUAUCAGGAGGAACACCGGUGGCGAAGGCGGUUCUCUGGGCCUGACCUGACGCUGAGGAGCGAAAGCGUGGGGAGCGAACAGG
rnacentral:rRNA from 1 species